UACGGGGGGAGCAAGCGUUGUUCGGAUUUACUGGGCGUAAAGGGCGCGUAGGCGGCCAGCACAAGUCAGUUGUGAAAUCUCCGAGCUUAACUCGGAAAGGUCAACUGAUACUGUGCGGCUAGAGUGCGGAAGGGGCAACUGGAAUUCUUGGUGUAGCGGUGAAAUGCGUAGAUAUCAAGAGGAACACCUGCGGCGAAGGCGGGUUGCUGGGCCGACACUGACGCUGAGGCGCGAAAGCCAGGGGAGCGAACGGG
rnacentral:rRNA from 2 species